rnacentral:rRNA from 1 species
AACGUAUUUUGUGGAUGCCUUAGGCUCAUACUCACAAUGGGCGCUUUACGAUGCGAAACGUUGUAUCUUAGACAUCAUUCUGUUAGGUGCAAAUCCCCACUGUGGAAAACCACAUUUUGAAGACACGAGGAGAAUUGAAACAUCUUAGUAUCCUCUAGGAAAAGAAAUCAACCGAGAUUCCGUUAGUAUUGGCGAAAGAACGCGGAAAAGGCUAUAAAAGAAAAAAGUGUAAAACAUGGUGGAAUCCAUUGACCAGAGAAGGUAAAAGUCCUGUAUAAUAUAUUUUUUCUUUUUGCAAAGUAGAACGUUCAUUGUUUGAAAAAAGGAGAACCACCUUCUAAGCCUGAAUAUGAGUAUGAGAUCGAUAGUGGACAAGUACUGUGAAGGAAAGGUGAAAAGAACCCUCUUCGUAGGGAGUGAAAAGAUCUGAACCAAAAUACAAUCAAUCAAUUGGUGUGAUUUGUACAAUCCACCAGUGUACCUUUUGCAUAAUGGGUCAGCGACUAAAUGUAUGAAGCGUGCUUAAGCAAAGAUGUGGAGGCAAAGCAAAAGCAAGUAAUCAAUGUGCGAGUGUUUCAUGCAUUUGACCCGAAACUAAGUGAUCUCACUUUGAGCAGGUUGAAGAAAGCGUAAUGUCUUUUGGAGGACCGAACCGACGUCUGUAGCAAUAGACGCGGAUGAUUUGAGAUAAGGGGUGAAAGGCCAAUCAAACUUAGAAAUAGCUGGUUCUUCGCGAAAUUUAUUGAGGUAAAGCGUAUGUGCAAUCUUUCUGGGGGUAGAGCACUUAUUGAGCUAUGGGGGUCCAAAACCUUACUGCUCUCAAGAAAACUCCGAAUACCAGCAAAGAGCCGCAUGCAGACAGACGUUUAGUGCUAAGGUUAAACGUCGAAAGGGAAACAGCCCAGCCUGAUCGCUAAGGUCCCGAAGCAUUCUGUGAGUGGGAAAAGAAGUAGAGCAACAUUGACAACUAGGAGGUUGGCUUGGAAGCAGCCAUUCUAUCAUGAAAGCGUAAUAGCUCACUAGUCGAGUUGCUGUGCGCUGAAAAUGUCUCGGGGCUGAACAGAAUCACCGAAGCGUCAGAUACAAGUAGCGAAGCGUUUUGUUCGCCAAUGAACAUUUAUCGAAAGAUAAGUGGAAGGUCUCAAAAGUGACUAUGCUGGCAUGAGUAACGAUUAAUCAUGUAAAACCAUGAUCGCCGUAUGUUCAAGGGUUUCUGCAAACUGGGAGUCAGUGCAGAGUUAUGUUCGGUCCCUAAGAUGAAUACCCACUGGUACCAUUGAUGGAGGAAACUCAUAUAUGACGACAAACGCACACACACAUUGCAAAAAGGAUACAAUUGUUGUGUGUGUACUGGUCCAGGAAAAGUAUAUGAAAACAAAACACCGUACCCUAAACCGACACAGGUGAACGAGUCGACUAGACUCAGGCGUUGAGAGAACCAUAUUGAAGGAACUCGGCAAACUUAUCCCGUACCUUAGGAAGAAGGGAUACCGAAAAUGGUGACACAAAAAUGGGGGUGACGACUUUUUACUAAAAAAUUAGGACUCUGCAAAAUGGCAACAUGCUGUAUAGGGUCUGACGUCUGCCCGGUGCUAGAAGUCUAAAAGGAGCAUUGCAAGAUGCAAAUGGAAAGCCUAGUAAACGGCGGUUGUAACUAUAACAAUCAUAAAGUAGCGAAAUUCAUUGCCAGCUAAUUCCUGGCCUGCAUGAAAGACGUAACGAUUGCCCCGCUGUCUCCAGUAUGGACUCAGUGAAAUUGAAUUCUCCGUGCAGAUGCGGAGUACGUGCCCCAAGACGAGAAGACCCUGUGCAUCUUUACUGUACAUUUGCAUUGACAACACGAUGUGUCUGUGUAGGAUAGGUGGGAGUACACACAACCUUGAAAUACCACCCUUACCAUCGUUUUUGUCUAACACCUUGAUGGUGGACCAUGCAUGUGAGGCAGUUUGACUGGGGCGGUCGCCUCCUAAAGAGUAACGGAGGCGUACGAAGGUAAACUCAAUGUAGAUCGGAAACCUACUGAAGAGCGUAAUGGUAUAUGUUUGCCUGACUGUAAGAUGUACACAUCAAACAGAGACGAAAGUCGGUCAUAAUGAUCCACAAGUGCCGCGUGGAAGGGCUUGUGCUUAACGAAUCAAAGAUACGCCAGGGAUAACAGGCUGAUAAUUCCCAAGAGUCCUUAUCGACGGAAUUGUUUGGCACCUCGAUGUUGACUGAUCAUAUCCUGGGGCUGAAGAAGGUCCCAAGGGUUCGGCUGUUCGCCGAAUAAAAUGGUACCUGAGUUGAGUUUAGAACGU